UACGUAGGGACCAAGCGUUGUUCGGAUUUACUGGGCGUAAAGGGCGCGUAGGCGGCGUGGUAAGUCACUUGUGAAAUCUCUGAGCUUAACUCAGAACGGUCAAGUGAUACUGCUGUGCUAGAGUGCAGAAGGGGCAAUCGGAAUUCUUGGUGUAGCGGUGAAAUGCGUAGAUAUCAAGAGGAACACCUGAGGUGAAGACGGGUUGCUAGGCUGACACUGACGCUGAGGCGCGAAAGCCAGGGGAGCAAACGGG
rnacentral:rRNA from 1 species